rnacentral:tRNA from 1 species
GCCAGGGUGGGGUAGUUUGGUUAUCCUAGGGGACUGUGGAUCCCCCGACCCGGGUUCGAAUCUCGGCCCUGGCC